rnacentral:rRNA from 1 species
UACGUAGGGGGCAAGCGUUGUCCGGAUUUAUUGGGCGUAAAGAGCGUGUAGGCGGCCAGGUAGGUCCGUUGUGAAAACUCGAGGCUCAACCUCGAGACGUCGGCGGAAACCCUCUGGCUAGAGUCCGGAAGAGGAGAGUGGAAUUCCUGGUGUAGCGGUGAAAUGCGUAGAUAUCGUAAGGAAGACCAGUGGCGAAGGCGGGUCUCUGGACAGUUCCUGACGCUGAGGCACGAAGGUCAGGGGAGCAAACGGG